rnacentral:lncRNA from 1 species
GUGAUACAGGCAGGAAGUGACAUAGCAAGCAGACUCAUAAUAUAAGCAGGAAAUCGCUCUCUUGCUCUUCUUCUUCCUCCUGCUCUCUUCUCUAAAGAGCUGCCAUGUGAUCCCAGGAAAAGAACGUCCUCGAUAAAGAAAACAUAAAGAAAAUAUCAAGCUGCCUGAGUGUUUCCACCUGAGAAAUUAGAGCAAUUUUGUACCAUCGCUAGCAUUCAAAUGUUGUUCCUUCCUGUUUAAGUUGGAUGACUUUCCCCGUGCAGGAACUGAAUGUAAUCCUCUGGGCUCUUCCGCUCACAUUCUCCACCAUGUGUGGUCAAUUAAAUCCCAGCAGUAUAGAGGCGGUUUCAUCUAAACGACUGCAUUUCCUGGGAAACCAAGGGGCUAACAUCGCACUUCUAAACACUCUUGAAGUUUGGUGGGUACAAUUGCUUUUCCACAGCCUCCCCCAGCACAGAACACCUCAAGUAAGACAGCAUCCCACCUCUAUCUUACUUGGCAGCGAAUCACUCUUUUAAGAAACCACACUGUUUUCAUUAAGGAUCCCAGUCACUCCUACUUAUCACAGGACGGUCUUCAUCUUUGGCAAAUCAAAUGCUUUCAUGCAGUUUGCGCACCUGGAUUGUAAAAUGAAGGCAACAUCCAGCAAAGCCCAUGUAAAACUGUCUCUAGCAAAAUAACAGUAAAACACAAAACAGAUGCCUGAGAGACAAUUGUGGGGCGGCGGGGGUGGAGGGGUGUCAAAUGGUGAAAAGAUAUUUUGUGCUUAUUGUAAUGAGAAUUUAUAUUGUUACUAAUAGUGAUUUUUAAUUAUAAAGCAAUUUUUAAAUAUAAUAAGAUAAUGCAAUACUAUGUGGUUCUUAGAAAAUGUUUCUCAACACCUGAGUUUUGAUAAAGGAGCCAGAAAAAAAAAAAAAAAAAAAAAAAAAAAAAAAAAAGACUACAUCUCCAACAAAUUGUGCUGGUCAAACUGGAUGACUUCAUGUAGAAGUAUGCAAAUAGAUCCAAAUUUAUCAUCCUUAUACAAAAUACAAUUCCAGAUGGAUCAAGGACAUCAACAUAAGACCAGAUACCCUGAAUCUGAUAGAAGAGAAAGUGGAGAAUUGUUUUGAACUCAUUUGGCACAGGAAAAGCCUUUCUGAACAGAACACACUUAGCAUAGACACUAAGAUCAACAAUUAAUAAAUGGGACCUCAUGAAACUGAGAAGCUCCCCCAUUGCAAAGGACAUCACAAUGUGAACAAAAGGUUAAUAUCUAAAAUACAUUUUAAAAAACUAAAAAACAAAAAGAAAACCUAAACAUGAAGAAAACAAAUAACCCAAUUUAAAAAAUGGGAUACAGCCAGGCGGUGGUGGCACAUGCCGUUAAUCCCAGCACUUGGGAGGCAGAGGCAGGCAGACCUAUGUGAGUUCAAGGCCAGUCUGGUCUCCAGAGCGAGUGCCAGGAUAGGCUCCAAAGCUACACAGAGAAACCCUGUCUCGAAAAACCAAAAAAAAAAAAAAAAAAAAAACCCUGUCUCAAAGGAAAAAAAAAAAAGGGAUACAGAGCUAAACAGAGAAUUCUCAAAAGAGGAAACUCAACUAUCUGAGAAACAGAAAAUGUUCAGCAUCCUUAGUCAUUAGGAAAAUGCAAAUCAAAACUACUUAAGAUUUAAUUUUACACCAGUCAGCAUGGCCAAGAUCAAUAAAACAAAGGACAGCUCAUGGUGGCCAGAAUGUGAGGCAAGAGGAAUGAACAAUCAUUCAUUCCUAGUGGAAAUCAGUGUGGCAGUUCCUCAGGAAGAUGGAAAUAAUCUACCUCAAGGUCCAGCUACAGCACUCUUGGGCAUAUACGCAAAGGACUCUCUACCCUACUAUAGAGAUGCUUGCUCAUCCAAGUUUAUCUGUUGUUCUGUUCAAAACAGCUGGAAACUGGAAACAAUCUAGAUGCCCAUCAGCAGAGGAAUGCAUAAGGACAAUGUGGCACAUUCGAUGGAAUACAAGGAAAAUCACAGGCAAAUAGAUGGAGCUAGAAAAAAAUCAUCCUGAGUGAUAUAACACAGGCCCCAAAAGACAAACAUGCAGACAGAGACCAUUCCAGAAGUCCACAGUUGGCCAAAAUGUAGAGAACAAGUGACCGUGUGGUAUCCAACACAAACUGAUACAUCUACCACACAACCCGACAUCCAAGGCUCAAGGAACAACAGGGAAACUGCAGUAUAAAGACUGUCAAAACCAGAGAACUCAAACAUCUGCUAUGAGGUCCUAUCUUCUAUGUAUUACCAUGAAAUUUCAACAAUAUGGUCACCCAAAUGAGACCUGCACAAAAACAACAUCUGUUGGCAUGCCAACAUGGAUGGAAAUAUCACUAUGUCACACCCCUAGAUGAAAGACUACAAGGAAUUAGUAGAAGCUGAGAAUGGGACAAUCAACCUUCUCUAGGGACAAGCUCUGUAAUAGGUUACCCAAUCCCAGUGGUCUGUCCUAAACACUAAGUGUCAUCAGGUUAUAUUUAUGUAUGUGAAAUAAUAACUAAAGGUUAAGUAUUUGAGAUGGAGUCAUGGAGACAUGGAAAGAGUUGGAGGAGAAAAUGAGGUGUGUUAAUGAUGUAAAUACAGCACUCCUGGAUGAAAUUCUAAAAAAAAAAUUAAUUUAAAAAAGAAAAUGUCAAGUUGUAACAUUCUUUCAAUUUUAGUGUGACUUUUGGUAUAAAAGAUAGCAGACUAGAGAUAGAACUGUAGAUCUUAGGAUCGGUGGGACAUUAUACAAUGAGUCUAUACUUUUAAGUAGGAAAACAAUGUAAUACAUGAGGGCAAAACCAUGCCUGCAAGCCCUUAUUCAGCACAUUGUCUAUCCCAUUUCAUUAAAUCCAUAAAUACAUAGAUAGGCAGCUAAACACAUUGCUAUUUUGUGAUUAAGUUAUAUCUUAUAUUAAAAAGUGUGGUCCUCACUAACAUAUCCCAAGGUUUUUUUUUUUUUUUUUUUUUUUGAGCUCAGAAUGUAGCCUCCAUUGUAUAUAGUAAAAGAUAAAAAAUAAAAAUUUAUGCAGCUAGUCUCUGAACACACAGUUUCCUGUUACGUUUCUCAAUAUUUGCUUGUUGUAUAGUUAAAUUCACCCCAUAAACUUACGCAAUUUCAUUGGGGGAAAGAGCUAUGGCGGUCAUAAGGUUCAAUUCCAGUUAAUUACUGUAAUCAUCCACUACUCAUUCACA